AAAAAGAAGAAGCAAGAAAUGAGCGCUAUAUGAGGUGCAACAUUCAAAAAAUGUGAAGAGAAUUUAAUCUAGUUUGCAAUUAUGGACAAACCAGCGGUGAAAGUGAUUUAUUUGUCUAGCAUUUCAGCCCGAAGGAAAAACUGAGAAACUUAUGAUCGUCAGUGAUCAAUCUUAUGAUUGGAAAGAAUUCGAUGCAAAAAUCCAUGUUGUGUGUUGGUCUGUGUAGUCUUGAACUUAGCAGAAAAUGCAAUACCUUAAUUAUCAAAUACCCACCAUUGUAUGAUAGCCUUGGUUUUGUAAGGCAAACUACUAAAUGAAGUUCGAUGUCUUCUGAAAUCACCACUUUAGAACAAACUGGGCAUUUCACUCCUGGAGCAUAAGAUCACAAAAUAUAAUCUACCCUAACACCGCAAAAAUACAUACGAAUCAAGCAAUUGUCCAUCAUAUAAACAAUAGAUGAAAAAUGAUUAUAUAAAACAGUGACAAAGAAUAAUUUUAGAGGAUAAUCUUACCAGUAAUAAAAGACGUUGCGAAAAGUUGCGCUGGAAGAGAAUGUGCUCCUUGAAUUGUAUAGAGUCCUCGUAAUUGUGGGGAAUUAUCGUCAUUUGCUGUCAGUCCUGACUCUUGAAACGAGCUUUGAUGUGAAGGUAUCGGGAAAGAAUG